rnacentral:rRNA from 1 species
AUGUUCCUUUUGCAGGAGAAGCAACACAGGCUUGAAGCCGAAAGCGACUCUUCGUCGAUGAGGCCCAAGUGGGACACCCCUCUCAAACGGGCCUUGAAUGAACUGAAGGGACUCCCUUUGGACCAGCAGCCGCAAUAUAGACGUGUGCAUGACAUCGGAGAUGAUGCCACGUGGAAGUUCUAUUACAAUGAGGGCCCGGAGGCCAAGACGCAAAAACUGAAGUUCAGUCAGGCGGACAUCAACGAGAAGGUGAAGCUUGCAUUCGAGAAAAAAACAGCUAAGGAGGAGAAAAAAGUAGCUCAUGCCAAAAAUGAGUUGGUCCAGCAGGCAAGCGUUGCAGCUUUAGCUGCCUGCAGACAUGAUUUCACUACUAACUUGAUCCCGUCUGUCAUCAACUGGACAAAGGAAAAUCCAGACAAGAUGGCACAUAAUUUUCCCAUGCCUAGCUUCGUCGGGAGUAACUCAGUGAACAAAACAACCACACCUUCACCUGCUCUCGCAACAACACCUGCUCCUGCACCCGCACCCGCUCAUAGCAGCCCGUCCUUUGUCUUGGGCGUGCUAGGAGGGCCUUCGUCUUUGGCUGACCUCGACACCCUCACAGUAAUUACACGUCGCCCUAACAUAUAUCUAGAAUCUUACAUUUUCGUUGCCUUUUGGAUGUUUUAUGCCACAAACAUGUCUUUGCAGGCCAAAAAACCCCGUGCAUCGUACUCUACGUGA